rnacentral:rRNA from 1 species
GGGUUGUGAGGUUAAGCGACUAAGCGUACACGGUGGAUGCCCUGGCAGUCAGAGGCGAUGAAGGACGUGCUAAUCUGCGAUAAGCGUCGGUAAGGUGAUAUGAACCGUUAUAACCGGCGAUUUCCGAAUGGGGAAACCCAGUGUGUUUCGACACACUAUCAUUAACUGAAUCCAUAGGUUAAUGAGGCGAACCGGGGGAACUGAAACAUCUAAGUACCCCGAGGAAAAGAAAUCAACCGAGAUUCCCCCAGUAGCGGCGAGCGAACGGGGAGCAGCCCAGAGCCUGAAUCAGUAUGUGUGUUAGUGGAAGCGUCUGGAAAGGCGCGCGAUACAGGGUGACAGCCCCGUACACAAAAAUGCACAUGCUGUGAGCUCGAUGAGUAGGGCGGGACACGUGGUAUCCUGUCUGAAUAUGGGGGGACCAUCCUCCAAGGCUAAAUACUCCUGACUGACCGAUAGUGAACCAGUACCGUGAGGGAAAGGCGAAAAGAACCCCGGCGAGGGGAGUGAAAAAGAACCUGAAACCGUGUACGUACAAGCAGUGGGAGCUCGCUUAGGCGUGUGACUGCGUACCUUUUGUAUAAUGGGUCAGCGACUUAUAUUCUGUAGCAAGGUUAACCGAAUAGGGGAGCCGAAGGGAAACCGAGUCUUAACUGGGCGUUAAGUUGCAGGGUAUAGACCCGAAACCCGGUGAUCUAGCCAUGGGCAGGUUGAAGGUUGGGUAACACUAACUGGAGGACCGAACCGACUAAUGUUGAAAAAUUAGCGGAUGACUUGUGGCUGGGGGUGAAAGGCCAAUCAAACCGGGAGAUAGCUGGUUCUCCCCGAAAGCUAUUUAGGUAGCGCCUCGUGAAUUCAUCUCCGGGGGUAGAGCACUGUUUCGGCAAGGGGGUCAUCCCGACUUACCAACCCGAUGCAAACUGCGAAUACCGGAGAAUGUUAUCACGGGAGACACACGGCGGGUGCUAACGUCCGUCGUGAAGAGGGAAACAACCCAGACCGCCAGCUAAGGUCCCAAAGUCAUGGUUAAGUGGGAAACGAUGUGGGAAGGCCCAGACAGCCAGGAUGUUGGCUUAGAAGCAGCCAUCAUUUAAAGAAAGCGUAAUAGCUCACUGGUCGAGUCGGCCUGCGCGGAAGAUGUAACGGGGCUAAACCAUGCACCGAAGCUGCGGCAGCGACGCUUAUGCGUUGUUGGGUAGGGGAGCGUUCUGUAAGCCUGCGAAGGUGUGCUGUGAGGCAUGCUGGAGGUAUCAGAAGUGCGAAUGCUGACAUAAGUAACGAUAAAGCGGGUGAAAAGCCCGCUCGCCGGAAGACCAAGGGUUCCUGUCCAACGUUAAUCGGGGCAGGGUGAGUCGACCCCUAAGGCGAGGCCGAAAGGCGUAGUCGAUGGGAAACAGGUUAAUAUUCCUGUACUUGGUGUUACUGCGAAGGGGGGACGGAGAAGGCUAUGUUGGCCGGGCGACGGUUGUCCCGGUUUAAGCGUGUAGGCUGGUUUUCCAGGCAAAUCCGGAAAAUCAAGGCUGAGGCGUGAUGACGAGGCACUACGGUGCUGAAGCAACAAAUGCCCUGCUUCCAGGAAAAGCCUCUAAGCAUCAGGUAACAUCAAAUCGUACCCCAAACCGACACAGGUGGUCAGGUAGAGAAUACCAAGGCGCUUGAGAGAACUCGGGUGAAGGAACUAGGCAAAAUGGUGCCGUAACUUCGGGAGAAGGCACGCUGAUAUGUAGGUGAAGUCCCUCGCGGAUGGAGCUGAAAUCAGUCGAAGAUACCAGCUGGCUGCAACUGUUUAUUAAAAACACAGCACUGUGCAAACACGAAAGUGGACGUAUACGGUGUGACGCCUGCCCGGUGCCGGAAGGUUAAUUGAUGGGGUUAGCGCAAGCGAAGCUCUUGAUCGAAGCCCCGGUAAACGGCGGCCGUAACUAUAACGGUCCUAAGGUAGCGAAAUUCCUUGUCGGGUAAGUUCCGACCUGCACGAAUGGCGUAAUGAUGGCCAGGCUGUCUCCACCCGAGACUCAGUGAAAUUGAACUCGCUGUGAAGAUGCAGUGUACCCGCGGCAAGACGGAAAGACCCCGUGAACCUUUACUAUAGCUUGACACUGAACAUUGAGCCUUGAUGUGUAGGAUAGGUGGGAGGCUUUGAAGUGUGGACGCCAGUCUGCAUGGAGCCGACCUUGAAAUACCACCCUUUAAUGUUUGAUGUUCUAACGUUGACCCGUAAUCCGGGUUGCGGACAGUGUCUGGUGGGUAGUUUGACUGGGGCGGUCUCCUCCUAAAGAGUAACGGAGGAGCACGAAGGUUGGCUAAUCCUGGUCGGACAUCAGGAGGUUAGUGCAAUGGCAUAAGCCAGCUUGACUGCGAGCGUGACGGCGCGAGCAGGUGCGAAAGCAGGUCAUAGUGAUCCGGUGGUUCUGAAUGGAAGGGCCAUCGCUCAACGGAUAAAAGGUACUCCGGGGAUAACAGGCUGAUACCGCCCAAGAGUUCAUAUCGACGGCGGUGUUUGGCACCUCGAUGUCGGCUCAUCACAUCCUGGGGCUGAAGUAGGUCCCAAGGGUAUGGCUGUUCGCCAUUUAAAGUGGUACGCGAGCUGGGUUUAGAACGUCGUGAGACAGUUCGGUCCCUAUCUGCCGUGGGCGCUGGAGAACUGAGGGGGGCUGCUCCUAGUACGAGAGGACCGGAGUGGACGCAUCACUGGUGUUCGGGUUGUCAUGCCAAUGGCACUGCCCGGUAGCUA